rnacentral:rRNA from 1 species
AAUAAGCGGAGGAAAAGAAACCAACAGGGAUUGCCCUAGUAACGGCGAGUGAAGCGGCAACAGCUCAAAUUUGAAAUCUGGCGUCUUUGGCGUCCGAGUUGUAAUUUGCAGAGGGCGCUUUGGCAUUGGCAGCGGUCCAAGUUCCUUGGAACAGGACGUCACAGAGGGUGAGAAUCCCGUACGUGGUCGCUAGCCUUUACCGUGUAAAGCCCCUUCGACGAGUCGAGUUGUUUGGGAAUGCAGCUCUAAAUGGGAGGUAAAUUUCUUCUAAAGCUAAAUACUGGCCAGAGACCGAUAGCGCACAAGUAGAGUGAUCGAAAGAUGAAAAGCACUUUGGAAAGAGAGUUAAAAAGCACGUGAAAUUGUUGAAAGGGAAGCGCUUGCAGCCAGACUUGCCUGUAGUUGCUCAUCCAGGUUUCUACCUGGUGCACUCUUCUAUAGGCAGGCCAGCAUCAGUUUGGGCGGUUGGAUAAAGGUCUCUGUCAUGUACCUCUCUUCGGGGAGAACUUAUAGGGGAGACGACAUGCAACCAGCCUGGACUGAGGUCCGCGCAUCUGCUAGGAUGCUGGCGUAAUGGCUGUAAGCGGCCCGUCUUGAAACACGGACCAAGGAGUCUAACAUCUAUGCGAGUGUUUGGGUGUCAAGCCCGAGCGCGUAAUGAAAGUGAACGGAGGUGGGAACCUUUCGGGGUGCACCAUCGACCGAUCCUGAUGUCUUCGGAUGGAUUUGAGUAAGAGCAUAGCUGUUGGGACCCGAAAGAUGGUGAACUAUGCUUGAAUAGGGUGAAGCCAGAGGAAACUCUGGUGGAGGCUCGCAGCGGUUCUGACGUGCAAAUCGAUCGUCAAAUUUGGGCAUAGGGGCGAAAGACUAAUCGAACUAUCUAGUAGCUGGUUCCUGCG